CUUGACCUACGGGGGGCAGCAGUGGGGAAUAUUGCACAAUGGGGGGAACCCUGAUGCAGCGACGCCGCGUGGGUGAAGGAGUAUCUCGGUAUGUAAAGCCCUAUCAGCAGGGAAGAACAAUGACGGUACCUGACUAAGAGGCACCGGCUAAAUACGUGCCAGCAGCCGCGGUAAUACGUAUGGUGCAAGCGUUAUCCGGAUUUACUGGGUGUAAAGGGAGCGCAGGCGGCGCGUUAAGCCUGGUGUGAAAGCCCGCGGCCCAACCGGAGGACUGCAUUGGGAACUGGCGAGCUG
rnacentral:rRNA from 1 species